UACGAAGGGGGCUAGCGUUGCUCGGAAUCACUGGGCGUAAAGCGCACGUAGGCGGAUUGUUAAGUCAGGGGUGAAAUCCUGGAGCUCAACUCCAGAACUGCCUUUGAUACUGGCGAUCUUGAGUCCGGGAGAGGUGAGUGGAACUGGAGGUGUAGCGGUGGAAUGCGUAGAGAUCUCCAAGAACACCAGUUGCGAAGGCGGCUGACUGGACCCAUAUUGACGCUGAGGCUCGAAAGCAUGGGGAGCAAACAGG
rnacentral:rRNA from 1 species